rnacentral:rRNA from 1 species
GACGAACGCUGGCGGCGUGCCUAAUACAUGCAAGUAGAACGCUGAAGGAGGAGCUUGCUUCUCUGGAUGAGUUGCGAACGGGUGAGUAACGCGUAGGUAACCUGCCUGGUAGCGGGGGAUAACUAUUGGAAACGAUAGCUAAUACCGCAUAAUAGCAGUUGUUGCAUGACAACUGUUUGAAAGGUGCAAUUGCACCACUACCAGAUGGACCUGCGUUGUAUUAGCUAGUUGGUGGGGUAACGGCUCACCAAGGCGACGAUACAUAGCCGACCUGAGAGGGUGAGCGGCCACACUGGGACUGAGACACGGCCCAGACUCCUACGGGAGGCAGCAGUAGGGAAUCUUCGGCAAUGGAAGGAAGUCUGACCGAGCAACGCCGCGUGAGUGAAGAAGGUUGUCGGAUCGUAAAGCUCUGUUGUAAGAGAAGAACGAGUGUGAGAGUGGAAAGUUCACACUGUGACGGUAUCUUACCAGAAAGGGACGGCUAACUACGUG